UACGUAGGGGGCGAGCGUUGUCCGGAUUCAUUGGGCGUAAAGAGCUCGUAGGCGGUUCAGUAAGUCGGGUGUGAAAUCUCCGUGCUCAACACGGAGCGGCCACCUGAUACUGCUGUGACUCGAGUCCGGUAGGGGAGUGUGGAAUUCCCGGUGUAGCGGUGAAAUGCGCAGAUAUCGGGAGGAACACCAGUAGCGAAGGCGGCACUCUGGGCCGUGACUGACGCUGAGGCACGAAAGCCAGGGGAGCAAACGGG
rnacentral:rRNA from 1 species